rnacentral:rRNA from 1 species
UACGUAGGGUGCGAGCGUUAAUCGGAAUUACUGGGCGUAAAGCGUGCGCAGGCGGUUUGGUAAGACAGGCGUGAAAUCCCCGGGCUUAACCUGGGGAACUGCGUUUGUGACUGCCAGGCUAGAGUACGGCAGAGGGGGGUGGGAUUCCACGUGUAGCAGUGAAAUGCGUAGAGAUGUGGAGGAACACCAAUGGCGAAGGCAAUCCCCUGGGCCUGUACUGACGCUCAUGCACG